rnacentral:lncRNA from 1 species
GCUUGCUUGCUAGCCAACAUGGAAGAUCUUUCCUAAGAAGAUAGUGUGGUCAAAGUCUGGGGCCUGUUUCAACUCGCUUUCUAGGAGGAUUGCUAAGCCAUACCCAGAACUCCUCACGGGAUAGCUUCCUGUUUCCUGAGAGUCG